rnacentral:lncRNA from 1 species
AUCUGGAGCCAAAAAUAAAAGAGAAACCCUGCAACCAUAGUACCUGGUGGAAAUGCCCACAAGUGACCCAAGCAAGACCUAGGAGAGACUUUAGAUCAUGACCAAUCAGAAACAACAGCAACAACAACAACCACAACCACCACCACCACCAGAAGUUCUAUAGUGCCAGAGGAAAAUGAAUGUUGGAGCCAGAUAAGAAACUAUAGGCUGCUUUCAAGAAGGUUACAAGAAAACUGCAUCUUGCAUUACUAAUCCUUUAUCUUCAUGUUAACAAAAAGAUUACUGACACAUUUUUGAAUGAAAGAAAAUAAAAUAGCAAAUGCAUCUUAGAAAAUGUUUAAC